CCUGACCAAGGUCCAAAACGUGAACUGUUUUCAUUUGGCCAGAUUAAACAGAACACGUGGCACUUUCUGUUCUGCCUGGAUGAAAACAGGUCCACCUGGGGAGUCCCCCACCUGUGGAAGAUCAGGCUGACCACCUCUGGAUGGAGUGACCAUUUAUGGCGAGAUGAGAAGGUCCUG